CCCCCACGAUCCCAACACAACCCCAGCCUACUUAACGAGACAGCUUAAACAAGCGACAACACAUCAUCAUACAUGUUGUAUUAACAUUGCCGGGGAAAAACAAAGUACUUAAUCUACAUCAAAAGGCACGUUUAAUACAUGUUGUAUUAAACGACACAUCAUCAUACAUGUUGUAUUAACAUUGCCAGGGAAAGCCUACUUAACGAGACCAACUUAUCUAGCUAAUUUAAACGAGGAAAUGAAAAAUACACUUUCUUGAGACCCCAAGAGGGUGUAAAUACGUAUAUAAUGACGAGCAAACGUAACCCGAUUAACUAAAACUGCCGAACAUCCGUUACGUGCCAUUCUUGUUGGUUCGACGAGGUAGACUCUUUGUUCUCAGUCUUCUACAUCGAUGACAACGUCUUCUUGGACAGACAUGACUUCAUCGUCUACUUUGAACAAGGAUCGUCUAAACUUUUAAAACCUCUCGUCUAUCUAACGUCGUCAUGUCGGAUAGCGUACUACCUCUUUUCCUCGCAUCUCUUCUUGUAAACCGAACUCGACCUUGCACUCCACGAAGUGUGGAAUCCCUAAAGUAGAUGACUUACCUGAAUUGGUUGUUCCUGUAUCUUCGUGAGAACCCACCUGUAUGAGACAAAAUCCUCUUUUCGAGGAGGCCUAUCGAGCCCUAAG
rnacentral:rRNA from 1 species